AUUGAACGCUGGCGGCAUGCCUAACACAUGCAAGUCGAGCGAGCGGCGGACGGGUGAGUAAUGUAUGGGGAUCUGCCCGCUAGAGGGGGAUAACUACUGGACACGGUGACUAAUACCGCAUACUAUCGGAUGAACCCAUAUGGGAUUAGCUAGUAGGUGGGGUAAAGGCUGACCUAGGCGACGCUCUCUAGCUGGUCUGAGAGGAGGACCAGCCACACUGGGACUGAGACACGGCCCAGACCCCUACGGGAGGCAGCAGUGGGGAAUAUUGCACAAUGGGCGAAAGCCUGAUGCAGCCAUGCCGCGUGUAUGAAGAAGGCCUUAGGGUUGUAAAGUACUUUCAGCGGGGAGGCGUUACCCGCAGAAGAAGCACCGGCUAACUACGUGCCAGCAGCCGCGGUAAUUC
rnacentral:rRNA from 1 species